rnacentral:rRNA from 1 species
GGCCACUGCUAUGGGGGUCCGACUAAGCCAUGCGAGUCAUGGGGGUGUCCCUUCUGGGACACCACCGGCGGACGGCUCAGUAACACGUCGGUAACCUACCCUCGGGAGGGGGAUAACCCCGGGAAACUGGGGCUAAUCCCCCAUAGGUGUGGGGUACUGGAAGGUCCCCACACCGAAAGGGGCUUCGUGCCCGCCCGAGGAUGGGCCGGCGGCCGAUUAGGUAGUUGGUGGGGUAACGGCCCACCAAGCCGAAGAUCGGUACGGGCCAUGAGAGUGGGAGCCCGGAGAUGGACACUGAGACACGGGUCCAGGCCCUACGGGGCGCAGCAGGCGCGAAACCUCCGCAAUGCGGGAAACCGCGACGGGGGGACCCCCAGUGCCGUGGCAACGCCACGGCUUUUCCGGAGUGUAAAAAGCUCCGGGAAUAAGGGCUGGGCAAGGCCGGUGGCAGCCGCCGCGGUAAUACCGGCGGCCCGAGUGGUGGCCGCUAUUAUUGGGCCUAAAGCGUCCGUAGCCGGGCCCGUAAGUCCCUGGCGAAAUCCCACGGCUCAACCGUGGGGCUUGCUGGGGAUACUGCGGGCCUUGGGACCGGGAGAGGCGGGGGGUACCCCUGGGGUAGGGGUGAAAUCCUAUAAUCCCAGGGGGACCGCCAGUGGCGAAGGCGCCCCGCUGGAACGGGUCCGACGGUGAGGGACGAAGGCCAGGGGAGCGAACCGGAUUAGAUACCCGGGUAGUCCUGGCUGUAAAGGAUGCGGGCUAGGUGUCGGGCGAGCUCCGAGCUCGCCCGGUGCCGUAGGGAAGCCGUUAAGCCCGCCGCCUGGGGAGUACGGCCGCAAGGCUGAAACUUAAAGGAAUUGGCGGGGGAGCACUACAAGGGGUGGAGCGUGCGGUUUAAUUGGAUUCAACGCCGGGAACCUCACCGGGGGCGACGGCAGGAUGAAGGCCAGGCUGAAGGUCUUGCCGGACACGCCGAGAGGAGGUGCAUGGCCGCCGUCAGCUCGUACCGUGAGGCGUCCACUUAAGUGUGGUAACGAGCGAGACCCGCGCCCCCAGUUGCCAGUCCCUCCCGCUGGGAGGGAGGCACUCUGGGGGGACCGCCGGCGAUAAGCCGGAGGAAGGAGCGGGCGACGGUAGGUCAGUAUGCCCCGAAACCCCCGGGCUACACGCGCGCUACAAUGGGCGGGACAAUGGGAUCCGACCCCGAAAGGGGAAGGAAAUCCCCUAAACCCGCCCUCAGUUCGGAUCGCGGGCUGCAACUCGCCCGCGUGAAGCUGGAAUCCCUAGUACCCGCGUGUCAUCAUCGCGCGGCGAAUACGUCCCUGCUCCUUGCACACACCGCCCGUCACUCCACCCGAGCGGGGUCCGGGUGAGGCUCGGUCUCCCUUCGGGGAGGCCGGGUCGA